UGGGGAAUAUUGCGCAAUGGCCGAAAGGCUGACGCAGCGACGCCGCGUGGGGGAUGAAGCAUUUCGGCGUGUAAACCCCUGUUGCCCGGGACGAACAAGCAGAUUUUUCUGCUCUGACGGUACCGGGUGAGGAAGCACCGGCUAACUCCGUGCCAGCAGCCGCGGUAAUACGGAGGGGGCUAGCGUUGCUCGGAAUCACUGGGCGUAAAGCGCACGUAGGCGGACUCUUAAGUCGGUGGUGAAAUCCUGGAGCUCAGCUCCAGAACUGCCUUCGAUACUGGUAGUCUCGAGUUCGGGAGAGGUGAGUGGAACUGCGAGUGUAGAGGUGAAAUUCGUAGAUAUUCGCAAGAACACCAGUGGCGAAGGCGGCUCACUGGCCCGAUACUGACGCUGAGGUGCGAAAGCGUGGGGAGCAAACA
rnacentral:rRNA from 1 species